AGUGAACGCUGGCGGCAGGCCUAACACAUGCAAGUCGAACGGCAGCACAAGAGAGCUUGCUCUCUGGGUGGCGAGUGGCGGACGGGUGAGGAAUGCAUCGGAAUCUGCCCAUUUGUGGGGGAUAACCUCGGGAAACCGGGACUAAUACCGCAUACGACCUACGGGUGAAAGCAGGGGAUCUUCGGACCUUGCGCAGAUGGAUGAGCCAAUGCCGGAUUAGCUAGUUGGAGGGGUAAAGGCCCACCAAGGCGACGAUCCGUAGCUGGUCUGAGAGGAUGAUCAGCCACACUGGGACUGAGACACGGCCCAGACUCCUACGGGAGGCAGCAGUGGGGAAUAUUGGACAAUGGGCGCAAGCCUGAUCCAGCCAUGCCGCGUGUGUGAAGAAGGCCUUCGGGUUGUAAAGCACUUUUGUUGGGAAAGAAAAGCAGCCGGUUAAUACCCGGUUGUCAUGACGGUACCCAAAGAAUAAGCACCGGCUAACUUCGUG
rnacentral:rRNA from 1 species